rnacentral:ncRNA from 3 species
CAGCAGCACACUGUGGUUUGUU